GAUGAAGAACGUAGUGAAAUGCGAUAAGUAAUGUGAAUUGCAGAAUUCAGUGAAUCAUCGAAUCUUUGAACGCACAUUGCGCCCGCCAGUAUUCUGGCGAGCAUGCCUGUUCGAGCGUCAUUUCAACCAUCAAGCCCCAGGCUUGUGUUGGAGCCCUGCGGCUGCCGCAGCCUCCCAAAACCAGUGGCGGGCUCGCUAUCACACCGAGUGCAGUAGUUUACUCUUCGCUCAGGGCGUGUGGCGGGUGCUAGCCGUGAAACCCCCAACUUCUCAAGGUUGACCUCGGAUCAGGUAGGAAUACCCGCUGAACUUAAGCAUAUCAAUAAGCGAGGA
rnacentral:misc_RNA from 1 species